CCAGAGUGUUCCUGGGCCUCAGUGUGCCCUGAGGCGGGGAGUUUCUUUCCAGACACAUGUUAUCGUGUAUAAAAACAAUACCUUACAGAGCCCUGCAGAAAUGCAGGCCUUCCAGGAAAGACCGCCAGCAGCAGCCUCAGGACUUCUCUCAGCAACCCUAAAGUACUAUGGUGAAUGGACUCAUUUUCAGAUAAAACGCAGUUGUGGAAGAUGACAUAAGGCCUCCGUCUAUGCUCCUGACUUCAGCCCUUCCUCUUUUUAGAACAAGCGAUGGCUUCCCUCCUGUCCCCUCUGAGACCUACACACGGCUUCUGCUCCCAUCCAUCCCCUUUCUUUGGUUUGAAGGAAAACGACGCAGAUCUCAACAGACUGUAGGUCAUAAACCAAAAAGAGUGGCUACACAAUGGAUCCCAAGCCUGCUUCAAGUCAGACAUUUUCCAGGGUCCACACUUCCAGAGAAAAGCUCAGGCACAGGGGCCGGCAUGCCUUGGGGUCUGAGCAGCUGCGAUGGUUCUGAGGAAGAAGUUGGUCUAGGGGCCAAUGUUGGAGCCUUACUGUAACGCUCCCCUCUUCUAACAGUACACACUUCUGUUCCAUUCUAAGCAAAACAUUUCCAAGUGUUUAUGCUAUAGAGUGGAUGGAAUUUGCAUCAACUUUAAAAAUAAAAAUCGUUUUAUUAUCAAGACUUUGCAAAUACAAACAUCACGCGGAUAGGUUAAUAUAGUCAUGCAAAUUAGCUCUUGCCCAGACCGAAACUCUAUACAUCUCUGGGAACUCCAGGUCCAUUAGAAGAACCGUUUCGAUGACACAGGGCCUCACUUUGGAUUUUCACGUUCACUAUCAAUCUUUACUCAUUUAUCCACCACAAAACACAUGAUAGUUAAGAGUAGAAAAACAUUAGCUUUAUAUUAUUUUCUAUGACUCAUGUAUUCUCAUAUUUUCCCGUCCUUGUUCUCCUUUCUACGUGUUCUACCGAAGCCACAUGUACAUUUGUUUACACUACACACCAGGACCAGCAUGUGCAGGAGAAGAAGGACUUUUGUCUUCCUGAGAACGGCUGUGCUCACUUAGUGUUACACAGUCCCGGUGCAUUCAUGUUCUGUGAUUUUUAUGUUAUUUUUCUUUAGACUGAAUAUUAUUCCAUUUUAUAUUUGUGCUAGAUUUCCAUCGUCCAUUCAUGUGUUAAUGAGCAUCUAGAUUGGUUUCAUUCUCUUGCUAAAGGGAAUGGGGCAGCAAUAAACAUGGGAUAUAUAUGUAUGUGUAUAUAUGUACAUAUGCAUAUAUAUACGCAUAUAUGUUGGAGUGUAUAGGUUUCUCUGUGUAUAUGACCAAGAGUAAAGCUACUAGAUUAUAUGGUAAUUCAAUAUUUAAUUUUUUUUGAGAAACCUCCACAAUGAUUUCCAUAAAGACUACAUUAAUUUGCACCCACACCAACAGUGAAUAAGAGCUCCUCUUUCUCCAUAUUUGUUGUCUGAUUUUUUUUCGCACUAGGGUGAGGUGGUAUCUCAAAGUAGUUUUAAUUUAUGUUUCCCUGGCGGCUGCUAGAACACUUUGAAAGAUAGUUAUUGGCCAUUUGUGCUUCUUCUUCCUCUUCCUCUUUUUCCUCUUCCUCUUCUUCCUCCUCCUCUUUCUCUUACUUCUUCUGCUUACUCAGCUUUUGAGCCAAUUUGUUAGGUAGCCAUUUCACCUCCUUGGUAUUUGCUUCCUCCAGUUCCAGACGCGAGCCCCUUUCUGCAGCCAUUCUGUGAAGGUCUGUGUUCUCUGCUGAUGGUCUCCUUUUACACCAACUUUUUAGUUUUGUGGAGUUUCAUCUGCUGACACUUAGCGACAGCUCCUGCCCUACCAAUGUUCUGUUCAGAAAGUUCUUGCCUGCCCCAAUGUUAUGAAGAGUAUUCUUUACGCUUUCUUCUGGCAUUUUUAGCAUUUUGGGGUUUUAAGGUAAAGUAUUUUAUUCAUUUUUGGUUGGGCAAGAGACACAAAGCUCUCCCAUUCUCCUGCAGGGGAAUAUCUGGUUUUGCCAACACUGUUUGUUGAACAGGUUAUUUUCCAAUGUGUGUCUUUUGUCUCCCUUGUCCAAAGUUAGGUGGGCAUAGCUUUGUCACAGUGGUUCUGAGGCCCUGGUCUGUCCCAUUGGUCUACCUGUCUCCUUUCAUGGCAGUUCCAGGCUUCUCCAUCACUACAGCGCUGUAGUGCAAUUCAAGGUCAGGAAUUGCAAUGCUGCCAUUUGUGUUCCUACACCAUAGGCUGUCUGUGAUCUUUUGUGGUUCUAUGUGGAUUUGGGGGACUUUUUCUUCAAAAUAUGUGAAAUAUGAGAUGGAGUAUUGAUAGAUGCUGCUUUAAGUAUAUAAAUUAAGCUUGGUAGUACAGCUAUUUCCGCAAUGUUAAUUCUGCCAAUCCUGGAACAUGUUAUGUCUUUCCAUCACCUAGCACCUUCUUUGGUUUUUUUUUUUUUUCUUCCAAUGUCAGCAAAUUUUCACUCUAUGCCUUUCUCUUCUUUGAUUAAGUGUGUUCCUGGAUACUCAAUUUUUUGGAGUUAUUUUGAAUAAGAUGUUUGAAUAAUUUUUUCUCAAGAGUACUUUGUUGGUAUAGAUGAUACUGUUAUUGUUGCUUUUUAACAUUGAUUUUGUAUCUGGCAACUUUACUUGUUUAUUAGGCCUAAGAAUUUUCUAGUAAAUUCAUAGAGUCUUUUAAGUAAAAUUAAAAAAUAAAUCACGCCACCUGCAUGUAGAGAUAGUUUGACUUCUUUUACUAUUUUCAAUCUCUUUUGUGUUUUAAUUUUGUCUAGUUGCUAUAGCUAAGACUUCAAGCAUUUUAUCAAACAAGAGUGGGAGAGUGGACAUUCUUGUCUCAUUCCUGAUUUUAGAGAAAAUGCUCCCAGUUUGGCUCUCUUAUUUUGGCUAUAGCUUUGUGUAUUGCCUUUAUUAUUCCGAGGUAUGUUCCGUCUAUCCCUCAUGUUUCAGGACUUUUAUCAUGAAGACAUGUUGAGCUUUGUCAAAACGUCUUGAAUAACUGUCGAGAUAAUUAUGUGGUUUCUGCCCUUAAGUUUGUUUAUACAGAAUAUUACAUUUAUUGAUUAAUGUACAGCCCAUCAACUUUGCCUUUCUGGAAUUGAAGCCUAUUUGGUAACGUGCAUGAUCUUUUUGACAUGUUUCCGAAUUUUGGUUUCCAAGUACUUUGUUGGGGAUUUUUGCAUUUAUGUUCAUAAAAGAAAUUAACCUAUCAUUGUCUUCCCUGAGACCACUGGGGCUGAAGACCUGGCAGAAAGGCCUCUGUAGUCCCACUGCAGUCAGAGGCUCAGUACACAGGACUUUCUGGUCCCUCCAGAGCGGGAGGCAUGAACUACAGAGACUUGAGAAAUGUCUCACUUGCUCUGUCAUCCUGCCCUAUCCUCACAAUCCAUCAGGACACUCGCUCGUGCCUUCCCACCACCAGGUGCUUUAUGGCAAAAUGUGCCCCGGCAGGUCUGGUGGCUCAAGGCCUCUUUCUGGUACUGGUCCUUUAAGAGGAUCUGGGAGAGGAAGAACACUUAUCCUCUCUGCUGUGAUAUUGCCACACAUAAAUGAAAAUUCAUGACGGAUUUGUGACUAGUACAUGUGGGGCAAUGUUUGGGAGUAGCAAGAAUCCAGAGCCCCUUAAUUUAUGCUGCCAAACAAACAAUAAAAUAAUCCACUGAGUACCCACUAGGUCAACACAGUGACUCUGAAGACUAAGCUCUGCCGUCCUAACCUUAUCAAAAUCCGGACAGGUCUUUUCAGCACUGAAGUGACUAGCCACAACACUUAGAGGUCAGUGUACAUUCAGUGUGCCCUAGCCUGCUGGGUCUGCCCCCACCUCCACUGCAAAGAGAAAACAGGCAGUAAGAGGAAGACAGCCUGAUCAGGCAGCGUGAAACCUGUUCCCAAGACUGACUUGGACAAGAAAUGGCCCGCCUGAGCCAGGAACUCCAUGGCAAAUCAGGAAGGUUAGGCACCUGGUCCAGAGGCCACUGGGUUUUAUGUAGCCUCCACUUACCCCCCACCAGAUUUUAGGUGGCCCCCUCCUCCCACACACACAGGGUUUAUGUGUCCCCCACUUAGCUCUCCACCAGGUUUUAUGUGACCCCCCCACUACCCCUCACAUACACACAGGGUUUUAGGUGGUCCCCACUUAUGCCUCCACCAGAUUUUAUGUGGCCCCCUCCCCCCCCACACACAGGGUUUUAUAUGGCCCUGACUUACCUCUCCACUGAGUUUAGGGCCCCCACUCUCCCCACCCCUACCCCCACAUACACGCAAGGUUUAAUGCGGUUCCUGCUUACUCUUCCACUUUAUGUGGCCCCGCCCUGGAGCCUCUGCCAGGAGCUAGCUAAUUAUAGCCCUUCCAAUUCUCCCUCCUCUUCUUAUGCAUAGACCAAUUUUUCAUUCAUCUGGAAUCCACUGCAGCAUUUUAAUGUGGAAUGUCUACGUCUCCAUUUCACUCCACGGAAGAAAAAUGGCUUAAUUUCUCCAGCCAAUAGAUUUUUGGCCCCUGAUCCUUCAGACAGAAGAAAAAGACUCGGGGAAAAUCAGCGGCUGGACUAUCCACAGACAUUUUAUGAUGACCAUAAACAGGGUUGGGGUGGCUGACAUGCCAGGCAGCAUCCUGAACAGGGGGCUUAACACUGCCAUUAUCAACUGCCUACAAAGUGAGAGCCAGACAGGCAUGGAUGCGUGGAUGGGCAGAUAGGUAAGUGGAAUGUCAGCUGGCUAAGGGCUGUGGUUUCCUCGCCAUGUUUGCAGAAUGUCAUCACCCACUCCCCCCACCCACCCCCCGCAUUUUCCCCAUACACACAUGAGACCAAAUCAGUCUGUGCGCCCACCCACUACACUGAAGCAGAUUUCAUCAGGAGGAGAAAAAUCUACUUAGGAAGGAAAUUAGAGGCAAAAUUGGGGUUAAUCAUUUUAGCUGUGUUUCCAUUGUUCAGCUCCCAAGGCACAGAUGGACACUGUUGGCCUACGCUGUCUAGGAUUCUUCCUCACGACCGAAGAUGGCCUAGUCUGGCUUAGGACAGAAAGGGGCCAAGGACAAAGACAGACCAGACUCCCACCAAUUUAUAAAAAAUCUGAAAAAAAAAUCUGGAAUUUUGUUAGAAGAGUGUGAUGUAGACUCUGAAUAAAAACCGCCAGGGUUCAAAUCCCAAAUUUAGAUUUGUCAAGUACUGACUUUGUGACUUCAACCAGUCACCUCCCUGUGCCUCAAUUACAAAUGGAGAUAAUACUAGCUUUUUUUUUUUUUUUUUUUUUUGCAGAACUGUAAUGAGGAUUACUAAGCUGUCCUGUCUAAAGUACUUAGGACAGAGCCCACACUACCGACACAAGUCCCUGUCACAGAAUCUCAUUAUACAAAGACCAGGCCCUACCCCCAACAAGAAGAUAAUCAAAUUUAACUAACUCAGCCUUAGGUUUAAGGCCAAAGGUUUUGCUUAAGCAUAACCCUCUUCCUUUAUACUGUUUAUUGAUCUUCCCCAGGAACCGAAGCCACACUCAUUCAGAUCAAUAGCCUAUGGAACUGGGCUCUCAGUGAGGAAGGUGUGAACUAUAAACCCAUGGUGGAAGUUUGGACUGAUACCAACAGGAGGAGCAUUUAGCUGCUGACACGAUUGCUAGACAGGAAGGGGUAUUUGAAGUGCUUGUAAAGCUGUACCAGGGGAAGCUGCAAGCCUGAAAACACGCUUGUCUUGAUGAGCUCCGCAGACUCGGCCCCUCCCAUGCUGGCCGCAGUCCUAGACCGAGUGGGGACUUCUCCCAGAAGGACACAGAAACAAACUUGAGGAUGCAAAAUUCAAAGAGGCUUCUGUCACCGGCCCCCAGACCUUAGCACAACAGACGCCAUGAUGGAAGUACCAUGCAGACCUUGGAACCCAGCACACAGGCAACACCACCUGCCAAAACGGGAACAAAAACCUAAUCCAUCAAAAUCCAGAGUUCUGGGAAUGUCCCUUCAUGUAAUAACCUUGCUUCUUAGCGUCUGUGGUUCCACUUCUGGCCAACUGUUCUUGAUAGCUGAGGUGUGUCAACAUAGGAUGUGGUUUUUGUGCUAAAAGCUCACCCUGAAAGGCUUUUAGCCUUUCACCUGGAACUGUGCUUGAACAUACAGUGUCAUCACCGGCUGGCCAAUAGAGACUUUCUCUUGGCUUGAACCCCUGUCCAAGUGGUCUUCUCUGGCAGAUACCUCACAACAUCUCGAUAAAUCCAAGAUUCCCUCCCUGUUAAAUUCACACACUGCCUUGAAGAAAUGUGCCCACGCUGUUCCGGUUUCUCCAGGCGCUUCCUUGGUUGUCCUGGUGUAAUUGCUAAUAAUAUCCCCUUUUAUCUCAACAGUGUUCCUAUUAAGACACUGAAGAAUGCAGUCCUCUUAAUAAAGGAACUACUGCAGCCCCAGCAGGGUGCCUAGGAAUGCAACAAUUGUCCCCAAAGACUCUAAAGGACUCAUACGCAGACUCCCCAUUCUGAACUCACAGAAACCAGGGGUUGGGGGUGGCAUUUCUGUGCUCAAUCCAUAAAGGACAUCUCUCUGUGAAUGUGUGCUGGGGCCGCUGCUCUUGCUCUGCUGGAGCUCCCAGGAUCAGCACAUCUGGAACAUCUGGCACAGCCCACCUCCACAAUGAAUGACAUUAUAGGGCAGCUUGAAAUUAGUGUUGAUGGAGUGUUUUCACCGUGGGGAUCAGGAAAUGUUACCGACUUUUUUUCUUACCCAGGGAAUGGGCUAUAAAAUAUUUCUCGGAGAUGCGGAUAUGGCUUGCACUGGCUGAGCAAGCAUGAAGAGCUGAGUUCAGGUGUCAGCAUCCACGGAAAAAGCCAGCUGGGUGCUCUGGCGGUGCACCCCUGUGAUCCCAGUGCUAAGAAAGAGAGAGGAGAGGAGGAUCGCAGAAGCGAGCCUCACCAGAAUAGCCAGCCAGCUGGCAAGCUCCAGCUUCAGUGAGAGAUCCUGUCUCAAAAAUAAGGUGUGGGCAAGAUCAUUGGCUUGAAAUCCCUGUUGGUGCCUGAGCUGCCUUUCCGGGUAAGUCACUACCUCUCCAUCCAUGCCUUUACCUCACCCCACUGGCAUCUACAAACCCACAGGCCUGGUUCCGGACCCAUAGCACACCUGUAUGAAAUGAAAUUCAGUAUUUGAAAGCAGGAUUCAAUACAGAGACAGAAAUGUUGAAAAGAGCUCAAGCUAAAAUUUUGUUUUGUUUUUCAAGACAGGGUUUCUCUGUGCUAGUGCUGGGAUUAAAGGCGGGAGCCACCCCUGCCCAGGGAGCACAAGCUGAAACGAAGAUGGAAUUUAAAAACUCAGUGUCCCAGUUAGAAAAAUCAUGGGAAAGCCUGACAAGUGAAAUUAAUCAAGAAGAAGAUAGAAUAUCAGAACUUAAAGACAAAAUAAGGAUCUAGACAAAAUAAGCAAAGAAAAUGAAAAGGUUUUAAAAGCACAGGACAGAAAUAUGCAAGAAGUGAGGGAGACCACCAAAAGACAAAAUAUUGUAAUUGUAGGCACAGAAGAGGGAGAAGAAUCUCAUGACAAAGAAUAGAUCCUUAUUGAGAUCAUACAAGAAAACUUUCCCAAGCAAAGGAAAGACAUACCACUGUAGGUACAAGAAGGACACAGAAGCCCAAUUGGACAAAACCAAAGAAGAAACAGCCCCAUAGCAUAUUAUAGUGAAAACACUAAAUAUACAGAACAAAGAAAAAAUAUUGAAAGCUGUAAGAUAAGUAGCACAUUUCCAUAGAAAGGAAAACCCCCCAGAAUAACACCUGAUUUCUCAAUGAGAACGCUCAAAGUCAGAAGAGCCUGAAACGACACAUCCAAGCUCUAAAAGGCUGUGCAUGCCAACCUAGACUACUGUGCUCAGCAGAGCUGUCGUGGUUGAAAGGGAAAGAAAACUAUCCAUAAUCCAUACAGCCUAAAAAAAAAUCCUAUCUAACAAAAAAUGUUAAAGAGAAUACUGGAAGCAACAUUCCAAACUGAAGAGAGGAAUAAGCACAGCCAAGGGAUUCUAGAAAGAGAGCAAAUGAAGCUGUAAUUUAAUGAAAAACCACAACUAAGAAUGCAAACAAUCAGCAGAACAAGGUGGCACAGGUCUUUAACGCCAGCACUCUGGAGGUCAAGGCAGGCAGAUACCUGUGAGUU